rnacentral:rRNA from 1 species
AGUGAACGCUGGCGGUAGGCCUAACACAUGCAAGUCGAACGGCAGCACAGGAGAGCUUGCUCUCUGGGUGGCGAGUGGCGGACGGGUGAGGAAUACAUCGGAAUCUACUUUUUCGUGGGGUAUAACGUAGGGAAACUUACGCUAAUACCGCAUACGACCUACGGGUGAAAGCAGGGGACCUUCGGGCCUUGCGCGAUUGAAUGAGCCGAUGUCGGAUUAGCUAGUUGGCGGGGUAAAGCCCCACCAAGGCGACGAUCCGAAGCUGGUCUGGAGGGAGGCACAGCGAUACUGGAACUGAGACACGGGCCAGACUCCUACGGGAGGCAGCAGUGGGGAACAUUGGACAAUGGGCGCAAGCCUGAUCCAGCCAUACCGCGUGGGUGAAGAAGGCCUUCGGGUUGUAAAGCCCUUUUGUUGGGAAAGAAAUCCAGCUGGCUAAUACCCGGUUGGGAUGACGGUACCCAAAGAAUAAGCACCGGCUAACUUCGUGCCAGCAGCCGCGGUAA